UUGAGUCCAAAAUUCAAUGAACUAAGUAAACUGUUAGAGCCACUUUCAGCUACUUAAGUACACAGAUAAAAUACAGAAUCUCGGGUAAGAGCACUCACAUCAAAUUUAGCCUGAUAUAAAUUUGCAAUCUAUCCCUUGGAAUAAUUCCCACAUAUAUUCUUCAUGUUACUGUCAAUUUAUAUUUGCAAAAUAUUGCAGUUUUUUGGAAUUAUAAGCUUAUAAGUCAAACUUCAUGUUUGUCCCCUAGAGCAUUAAGAGAUAUGACCCUUAUUAUAGGUAAAGGAAACAAAGGAUAGUUGGGAUGUGUCAUGAUAUUGUUACAGUGUCUUCAAGCAAUGAUAAGCGAUUCUCCUCAGAUAUGAGAGCGCAGGUUAUAUCAACUGGUAAACAGAAGAUCAGAAUGGCUUAGAGGUUCAAGAUUCUCAGCUUCAUCUCUACCAAGAUAUCCCCCUUCCAAGUCUCAGGGUCCUCCUACUUUCCAAUCAAUGCCCUGAUAUUCACGCAAGAGAUUGGAUAAGGCUGUAGUUUAUAGUUACAUAAUAAUUCUUCAAACUGCACUAUUCAAUUUCGCAUCAUUUUUCAUGGAACUUAGUCCUGUGACUAUAAGAAAUGAGAUUCCUUUUUAAAAUGUAUUAUUAUUCACAUGAUUGUCAGUGUGCAAGAAAUGAAAUUCCUUAAGGCUGCCAUAGAAACUUUCUGGUUGUGUGACUAUAACUUGAUCUGGGAGUUCAUAGCCCUAAACCUGUUAUUUUCUUUCUAUAAGCAUUCCAAUACACUCUGAAGCAACCAUCCUACUCCAUAGUCUUUGUAGCCAUUAUUACCAUCAUAAAUGUAGUUAAGCUAAAAUGAGGUCAUACUCAAUUACAGUGGGUCC
rnacentral:lncRNA from 1 species